rnacentral:tRNA from 1 species
GGCGAGAUGGCCGAGCGGUCCAAGGCGCCAGACUAAGGUAGACCAGCUCAUUAGGUGAGCAACCCAUCUGGUCUCUUCGGGGGCGCGAGUUCGAAUCUCGCUCUCGUCA